GACGAACGCUGGCGGCGUGCCUAAUACAUGCAAGUAGAACGCAGUUGCGAACGGGUGAGUAACGCGUAGGUAACUGCCUGGUAGCGGGGGAUAACUAUUGGAAACGAUAGCUAAUACAGCAUACUACCAGAUGGAACUGCGUUGUAUUAGCUAGUUGGUGAGGUAACGGCGCACCAAGGCAACGAUACAUAGCCGACAUGGGAGGGUGAUCGGCCACGAUGGGACGGCGAAACGGCCCAGACUCCUACGGGAGGCAGCAGUAGGGAAUCUUCUGCAAGGGGGGGAACCCUGACCGAGCAACGCCGCGUGAGGGAAGAAGGUUUUCGGAUCGUAAAGCUCUGUUGUUAAUGAAGCGGUACUUAACCAGAAGGGGACGGCUAACUACGUACCAGCAGCCGCGGUAAUAC
rnacentral:rRNA from 1 species